UUUCCAUGCGAGGGCAGGUGGAUUGGGUUCCUUUGCCCAAAGCAGAACGUGGGACAGGAUCAGCCUCGUGAGAUAGCACGUCUGGCCUUUGGUCCCCUUCUCCAUUGCUUCCUCUCUUUAUGUUUCUCUUCCUAUCUCUCCGAGUUGCUGUUUCUUUGUGAGUCUUUUUCUAUUCAGUCUUUGUGGGAGUUGGUUCAUCUUUUCCUCCAUCUAAGUUUUUUAUCCUCUUCACUUUUUUUCCUCUUUUCGUCCUUAGUUUUAUGUAUCAACUCCCCGUGCCCCCAUUUUUUUUUUGCUUGACCUUCUCUGUUUCCUUUUAUUCUUGAAUAAAUCUUAGUCUCUGUUUCUCUUUCCCACUCUUUCCUCUCUCUUACUGUCUCCCUUCUUGUCCUGUUCUCAGCUAACUUAACUGGCCACAUGUGACGAAAACAACAACUUCUUAGCUUCUUUUUUGAGCAUCUUAAAUAAUUUUGUUUAUUUUAAAUUUCAAUGAAACAUCCAACCCUCACUGUCAUCCCUUGGAUAUACGUUUUUAUUUAGGUGACUGAAUUUUUUUCAACCUUUAUGGCUUGUGAUAGAAAAAUUUUACCCUAACUUAAAACUAAAAAAUUGGAUAUUGUAAUGUUAAUGUACCUAAUAUGUUUUUGAAUAUUCUAUGUUUUAUAUGUUAAAAAUACUCAAACAUGUUUCUAAGUAGAAUAUCAUUUACAUUUAAAAAUACAUUUCAGGAUAUGACUUUUCUGAAAAAAAAAAAAUAGAGGCUCUACAUUAUUUUCAGAAAUUGUAAUUUGUGGAUACAAAUACAGUCUUAAUUCUGAAAUUAUUUUAUUUAUGCUUGCUUAUUCAAACACAUAGUAAUUGAAUGCUUACCACGUGCUAAGCACUUAGAUUUUGGAGAUACAAAGAGGAGUGAUACAAACCUAGCUCUUUCCCCAGGAAGCUGCCUUGAUAACUAGUUUUCAAUUGGUUUCUGAUUGAAAGUUUUCAGUUUCAUUGAUUUUAGAAUUUAACUUCAGAAUAUGACAUCUGACCUUCCAUAUCUUAGAAACCUGUUAUUCCUUUUUUUUAAGUCUCUGCAUUGUCUUUGAUGCCUUGGUAGCAUGCACUGAAAAUUAACUCUUCUGUUUGAAGCUGUAAUUGUCAAGAUUAAAGAUUAACUUUUUAUCUUUGAGUUCACUUUAGCAUUGAUCUCUUAGUGACAGUGCCCUUGAUGAAAAACAGAUAAGGGGGGCACAAGCUUAUAAACGUCAAGUGAAAGUAAAUGCUGCAGAACUCAUGUUGUUUUUUUAACCAACAUUCUUUGCUUUUGGAUGUUUAAUUCACUGGAGAGCAUAAAUCAGAUCUAAAUUAAGAAUAACUUAUUUAGCAAUGCUGUUGCUCACCUUGGGGUUGAGCAGUGCAUUGUGGUGUUUCAGCAGUUAUUAAUCUAGUUAAAUGUAGUUUUGAAAUGUUAGAUGGUAGCUUUGCAUGAAAGGAAUUCUAGCAAUCUAUCAAGUAUAUAUUCUGAAAACACAAGUUGUUUAAAAUGUAGGAUUAUUUGUGGUUGUGAAAGAUGAAGGAAGUUAUAGCAAGAUAAUGUCAGAUAGCAUUUAGGGAAAGCACAGUUUUAAUAACUGAUUAAGAAACAGCUACUACAUUGAUUAUAUCAAUUAUAGUCAUGUCAUAAAGCUUAUGUUUUCAGAAGAAUAGAAACUUCAAGUAGAAUAUCAGAUUUUAAAAAGCAUUUUAUUAUGUAUUAUGAAAUAUUUCAAACAUAAAAAGAUGUAAAGACUAUCUACCAAUGACUCCCCCCUUAAUAAAACAAAUUAACCUGAAGGCUGUUUUGUGCCCCUCCUUGAUUGUGCAUUCACCUCCCAACCCCUCGCUCCUUGGGCAACUGUUAUCUUUGUUAUUUGUCAUUGCCUUAACAUUAGAUUUUUUUAUUACUGCUUUUGUAAUUCUAAUGAUAUCAAAUGGAAAAAAUAUUUUGAAUGCAACUCCUCUUUUAAUUUGCUCCAAUUUUAUCUGUAUUUUUUAGUCCAUGCCUGUAUUAUAAGUAUUAUAAAUACUAUCUGUAUAUACUUUUGCUAAAGUCGUGUGUAUUUGUUAAACUGAUGAUACAGCUUCAUAAGAUUUUAGGUCAGCUAAUGGAUUGUCAAUAUUUUGUUUAGAAUACUUACCAGGUUAUAAAUUACAAUUUGAAACAUAGAUAUCCUAUAGUUUGAGAAUUUGAACAUAGAUAUGGAUUAUGUUGAAAUCGACUGCCUUUUUCUUAGCUAUGACAGUAAUAAACUAUAUAACAACAGC
rnacentral:lncRNA from 10 species